rnacentral:rRNA from 1 species
UGAGGAAUAUUGGGCAAUGCCCGCAAGGGUGACCCAGCAACGCCGCGUGGAGGAUGAAUGUCGUAAGAUUGUAAACUCCUGUUAGAGGGGAAGAAUAGUACCGGUUGGACCGGUAUAUGACUGUACCCUCAGAGAAAGCCCCGGCUAACUACGUGCCAGCAGCCGCGGUAAUACGUAGGGGGCACGCGUUGUCCGGAUUUACUGGGUGUAAAGGGCGCGCAGGCGGGAUAAAAAGUCAGUGGUGAAAUCCUACAGCUUAACUGUAGAACUGCCUUUGAUACUUUUAUUCUUGAGUUCGGGAGAGAGAGACGGAAUUCCAGGUGUAGUGGUGAAAUACGUAGAUAUCUGGAAGAACACCGGUUGCGAAGGCGGUCUCUUGGUCCGACACUGACGCUGAGGCGCGAAAGCGUGGGGAGCAAACA